rfam:Populus trichocarpa scaffold_10_contig_88, whole genome shotgun sequence.
UUGUUAAUAGAAAGGAGAGAUGGUUGGCAUCUCCCUUGACAAGGAUGGGAUCAGCCUUUUGGCUUCCCUGUUACCACAUAUCUGGUUAAAACUCUCCACUUUAUAGGUGGAUCUAUAACCUAAUUUUAAU